GAUCCUGGCUCAGGAUGAACGCUAGCUACAGGCUUAACACAUGCAAGUCGAGGGGCAGCAUUUCAGUUUGCUUGCAAACUGAAGAUGGCGACCGGCGCACGGGUGAGUAACACGUAUCCAACCUGCCGAUAACUCGGGGAUAGCCUUUCGAAAGAAAGAUUAAUACCGGACGGCAUAUGAUUAUCGCAUGAUAAUCCUAUUAAAGAAUUUCGGUUAUCGAUGGGGAUGCGUUCCAUUUAG
rnacentral:rRNA from 1 species